ensembl:lncRNA
CGCAAGAACCGCGCGAUACACGAACAGACAAAGAAGUCGUCUUUCUGAGUUUCUACAAUGGCGGCCCGGUAUCGCCAUUCCGACUCACCACAAACUCCUCGCAUAGAACAGCCUGGACAUGACCGACUGGUUCCAGUCAGACCCGUGACAGACACUGAGAAGAAACUAUUGAGCGUUAUCAGCCGGCUGUCUGGUCAGAGAGGACCGCUGAAGGAGAAGCUGGAGGAGAGGAUAGCUGCCAUGGAAGCCAAAUUAAACACUUUCUCCAGCGGCGAGGAAAUUCAGCGGAAAAGAGGAGAGCACAGUCCUAAAAUUGCGACUGGGCUCACCUCACAAUGAGACAGUCAGGACAUAUUUAGUUAAAACUUUGGCUGAAGUCCAGAUGUGGAGGAUGUGGAGACAGACGUCCUUCUAUCUGCUUGUAAAAAGCAUUUUGAAACUCUACGGAGGAACUACCGCUACAGUCAACCCAACAUGGCGGAUCAGGCGGAGGCCAUGAAGUCUUCUGCCCCGAGUCGCCACAGAAGAAAGAGGCUGCUGGAUGCCAGGAAGACAGUCCCUGCUCCAGAUGAAGAGAACUUCUGGAAGGGCAUCACAGCUGACAUGAUGUCAGAUGAGGAGGACGGCAGCGUUGACGGCGUGCGUGGAUGGAUAGUACGGCCUCCAUCCUUCCACAGCCAGGAGCUAGCCAACUUGUGUGCAGCCCUACAGGCUGGAGGCUGAUGUAAAG